GGCUUGGUGGCGCGUGGCGCGCAUCCGUGUAAAUUUCGAAUGCAAAAACGGUUCAAGCGGAUCUCACCUGUUCGAAUCAGGUCUAAGCCC